rnacentral:rRNA from 1 species
CACGUAGGAGACGAGCGUUAUCCGGAUUUACUGGGCGUAAAGAGCUCGUAGGCGGCCUGUUGCGUCUGCUGUGAAAGCCCGGGGCUUAACCCCGGGUCUGCAGUGGAUACGGGCAGGCUAGAGUUCGGCAGGGGAGACUGGAAUUCCUGGUGUAGCGGUGAAAUGCGCAGAUAUCAGGAGGAACACCGGUGGCGAAGGCGGGUCUCUGGGCCGAUACUGACGCUGAGGAGCGAAAGCGUGGGGAGCGAACAGG